rnacentral:rRNA from 1 species
UACGAAGGGUGCUAGCGUUAUUCGGAGUGAUUGGGCGUAAAGGGUGUGUAGGCUGUGCGUUAAGUCAACUGUCAAAUUCCCCAGCUUAACUGGGGGCCGGCAGUUGAAACUGGCGUGCUUGAGGAUGGAAGAGAGAAGUGGAAUUCUCGGAGUAGCGGUAAAAUGCGUAGAUCUCGAGAGGAACACCAAUGGCGAAGGCAGCUUCCUGGUCCAUUCCUGACGCUGAGGCACGAAAGCGUGGGGAGCAAACGGG